AGUCGUCGGGUAGCUAGUCUAUUCGGUGAUGCAGCUAACGCAUUAAACAUUCCGCCUGGGGAGUACGGUCGCAAGAUUAAAACUCAAAGGAAUAGACGGGGACCCGCACAAGUGGUGGAGCAUGUGGUUUAAUUCGAAGAUACGCGAAGAACCUUACCUAGCCUUGACAUAUAGUGGGACACUUUAGAGAUAGAGUAGUGCCUUCGGGAGCUUUUAUACAGGUGCUGCACGGCUGUCGUCAGCUCGUGUCGUGAGAUGUUGGGUUAAGUCCCGCAACGAGCGCGACCCUCGUCACUAGUUACUAACGGUUCGGCCGAGGACUCUAGUGAGACUGCCUUCGCAAGGAGGAGGAAGGUGAGGACGACGUCAAGUCAUCAUGGCCCUUACGGCUAGGGCAACACACGUGCUACAAUGGCCAGGACAAUGAGACGCGAUACCGCGAGGUGGAGCAAAUCUAUAAACCUGGUCUCAGUUCGGAUUGUUCUCUGCAACUCGAGAACAUGAAGCUGGAAUCACUAGUAAUCGUAGAUCAGCUAUGCUACGGUGAAUACGUUCCCGGGUCUUGUACUCACCGCCCGUCACACCAUGGGAGUUGAUUUCACCCGAAGCGGGGAAGCUAAACUGGCUACCCUCCACGGUGGAAUUAGCGACUGGGGUGAAGUCGUAACAAGGUAACCGUA
rnacentral:rRNA from 1 species